rnacentral:sRNA from 2 species
UUGUUGUUCCGGUAGGUGAGGCUACUAUAGGGAUAAGGACUGUUGCCGCAACUUAAUGGAGACAUUAAUCGCUGGUUUGAACAGGCCAUAUCAUGAAGGUAUGGCAUAACACAGUUUCAUCGCCCUAUAAAGUCAAAGCUCAAACGGCAAAUUUA